AUUCCACCGCAACAGCUCUGGCAGCUGCUUUCUCUUUCUGUCUCUGUUAGCUUUUCAUCUUCCUGAGAGUCCAGAAGCCUCCCCGUCAGAAGUGUGUUAACAGCAUUUCAGCCCAUUUCAGGGUGAAGGACAGUUUGUCAUCUAACUGUUUUAACCCUCUUAGGGAGAAAGUACAUAGACUGAAAAGAAUUUGACAGAACGAAGACUCUAUCACACGCUGUGUACCCAACCCUGUGUAGGUGAACACAGUGCAAAUAUCUAAUUGGAAUCCUGAAUGACACCAAAACCCUUUGCUGGAGCUGGGAGCAGAGAGGGAAUUAUGAGGGGGAGGCAACAGGAAGCGUCACCUGGUCAGGAAGGACUCCCUGAGCCUCAGGUCAGGUGAGAGAAUAUCUCUUCCCUAUGGCCUAAGGAAUUCGACACAGGCUGAGCUGAGAGAAAAACAAGAAGCUGGUGUCUGUGAAGCAUGGAAGGGUUGCCCAUCGAACCAGCAAACGGAGGGGACAUAGCAGAUAUCAUGGGGUGGGGUGUGCAACCAAGGAGCAGAAAGCCAAGGAGACAAGGUCAUGGAAUCGAGUGCCAGAGCGCUCCAGAAGGGAAGCCAGAGCUCUUAUGAUGCCCUCCAGGCUGCCGCCAUGGCCACCAGGGCUGAGGGCUGGGGGGGCACAGAGGGCAGUGUCUGGGAGGCAGUGGCGAGCACAGAAAGCUGGGUGGGAAGGUAUCUCUGGACCUGCAGGCACCACAGAAUCAUAUGUGGGGCAUGGGCAGAUGUGCAUAGAGGUCAAAGGAGAGUGAAAUAGAUCCUGUAUAUUCCUCUACUGCUUAGAUGGUUAUAAAGGGGAUGCUUUACAAUGUAAAUAUGCUUAUAAAGGGGAUGAAAAGUGUGUGGAAUAAAAUAUAAUAUGCCUUCCUUCUUAGCCCUUAGUGAACAUUAAUAAUAGACUACAGAACUCUCAGAACAGAGUUUCAGAAUUCUUUUUAACACAGCCAACUAAAUCACAAGCAACUGACAAGAUAUGGCUCCCAAGUUAAACCAAUUUGCCAUCUCUGCUUCCUCUGUUCUUUGACGUUUAGGAAAAUAGCCCACGCAUCCUUACCACUUCCAGUUAGUGGCUACCCAUGAGUGAGACAGUCACCCUGUGCUGAAGCAUUUCAAAGACUCAAAACUCACUCCUUCCUAAUUAUCUUACUAUCAUUUAUGCCUUGGGGUUGUUUACAUCUCCCGUCUCUGUCUGCUGGAAAUACUAUUCAACCCUCUGCCACCACAUGGCUGUUCUUCAGUCCACACCCAGUGGCAGCGCUGGUAGUUUGAAAUUAGCCAGCGUGUAAAUAUCCUGAAAUAGGGAAACACUAUAAAUCAGGGCUUUCUCCCCAACCUGACCCUCAAGAGAGCCAAUUAUUAAACAUUUGCCGAUACAUCACUGGAGACAGUAGCACUUUGAGGCAUGGAAAAAGUUGAAGAAGUAGAAGCCAGACAUUUGAAAAGAUACUAUCUGAGGGGAGGAGUGCAGUAAGACUUUCUGAGAGGACUGGCAUUUAUAUGCUCAUCUCUGAGUGCUCCAUGGCCACAUCAGCAUCAUUCGCAGGGUCAGCAAAAGGGUAAAUUGUCAAUGCUUCCGAAAGCACCAUUAAUCUUACCAAAUGAAGAAAUAAAUGCAUCUCAAAUGAUGGAUUUUUCUGUAAACUAUCAUGGAGAACCCUUGAGGUGAUUCUCACAGGAGAUAUGAAUACAGUACAGGUGGCCAGGAAAGGAAAAAAAUAAUAUAAAUCAACAUGCAGGAACUACAAGAAAAAAAGAGGAAUGGAGGUACUACCCAUGAUAUUAAAAAGAGGUCCGUGGAAGAUUUCAAAAGUAAGUUUUUUAGAACAAAUAUUAAUGCAAAUGAAAAAAUCAAAGCAUGACAUCACUCUUUUUUAUAAACAGUGUUUAAUAGGUUAGGCCAGUGAAUUUCAGUUGUGUCUCCUAUAUAAUUGGGAAUCUAGAUCAGAUACUAAGAAAGGGAUCAAGCUGACAGAAGACCGGUUUCCGCUACCCCUCACCAGAGCAACUAAUUUUUCUUGUUUCACAUUUAGUUUUCUAAUAAGAUUCCAUUUGAAGAAAGGCUACCUCUGCUUUCAAACUGUGGGGGAAAAUAAUAAAACGAAAGAUUGCUCUAUCUGUUUAAUUGAAAUAUAAGUUUAUAAUCAGUCAUUACAAGAAUACCAUCAAGAAUUAUCACUGAAAAUAUAUUGAAGAAUUUAUUUCAAACACAAUAAUUCUAAAUUACCUACUUAUUCAUGAAAUCUUGAAAAAUGUUGUGCUUCAUGUAUAGAUAUUUGUAAGAGACAUUAAAAUACAUAAUCGGUUUAAUAAUUUUUUGCUAUCUUUAUUGACUUUUGCUAUAUUUGUUGACUUUUUUUUUUUUUUUUUUUUUAGCAGAAAUCAGGUGUGAAAGGUUGAACAAGCAGAAAGGGGCCAGAAUAUGUGGGAUCCUCUACAAUUUGAGUCUACGGGUUCAGUUGAGGGUGACAUGAUUGGAUUAGCAUUCUGAAAAUGCACCCUGAUUUAAAGUGGAGAACGUGGAGAUUUGAAAAAGCUGUGAAUGGAUAUGGGAAGAUUAGUUAGGAUACUAUUAAAAUGGUCCAGACUUACUAUGGUGGUGAGGUAGAGAUGUAUAAAAGUGGAUAAAAGAGAUGCCUGGGAAGUAAGAUGAACAAGUAGUUAAAAGGAAGGAAGUUUAAAGAAUGGCUGUCAGGUUUCUACAGUAUGCAACUGAAUGACGGACUGAUUUUUGCAAUUGAGAUAAGGAAUUCUGAAAGACGUAUGAGUGGAAAAGAGGUAGAUAAUGAAUCCAAAUGGAAUAUACUGUUGUUGAGAUACCAUUGAGGUAUCCAAAGAAGAUUUCAGGUAAGCAAUUGGAUAGUAUGCCUAUGGAGCUCACAAAGAGAUAUGAUUAUCAUGGCACAUUUAUAUUUACAUACCAUAAUUCACCCAUUUAAAGUGUACCAUUUAAUGGUUUAUAGUACAUUGACAAAAUUGUGCAACCAUUACCACAGUCAAUUUUAAAACCCUUUCAUUACCACAAAAAGAAACCCUUUACCUAUUAACAAUCACCCUUUAUCUAUUAAUCAAUUUCUCCAGCACCCUAUCCCUAGGUACUACUAAUCUACUUUCUAUCUCUAUGGAUGUGCAUAUUCUGAACAUUUCAUAUAAAUAGAAUAAUAUAUUAUGUGGCCUUUUCUGUCUGGCUUUUUUUACUCAGCAUGUUUUCAAGAUUCAUCCAUGUUGUAGCAUACUUCUUUUUUUGUUAUAGCUGAAUAAUAUUCCAUUGGAACAUUAGAUAUACUAGAUAUACCAUAUUGUGUUUAUCCAUUCAUUAGGUGAUAGAUAUUUGGGUUGUUUCCUCUUUGGGGCCAUUACAAAUAAGCUGAUAUAAACAUUCAUGAACAAGUUUUUGUGUGUACAUAUGUAUUUAUUUCUCUUCAUGAUAUAGUUAGGAUUGCACUUUCUAGGUUAAUGACAACUCCAUGUUUAGCAUUUCAAGAAACUGCCAAACUGUACUCCAUAGCAGUUAAACCAUUUUACUUCUCUUAAGCUGUGUGUAAGGGUUCCAAUUUUACCACAUCCAUGCCAACACGUUAUUGUCCAUUUAAAAAAGUAUAGCUACACUAAUGAGUGUGAAGUGCUGUCUCAUUGUGAUUUUUGAUUUGCAUUUUCCUAAUGAUUAAAUAUGUUAAGCAUAUUUUCAUGUUCUUAUUGGCCAAUUGCAUGUCUUCUGUGGAGAAAUCUCCAUUCAACUUUUUCCCAUUUUAAAAUUAAAUUAUUUGUAUUUUUAUUAUAAACAUUCUUUACAUAGUCUGGAUACAUGCCCCUUUAUCAGAUAUAUAAUUUACAAAUAUGUUUCUCACUCUCUGUGUUCUUUUCACCUUGACAGUGUCCAUUGAUGUGCAACAUUUUUUAAUUUUGAUGAAGUCAAAUUUUUUUUCUUUGGUUGCUUUGCUUUUGGAAUCAUAUCCAGAAAAAAAAAAUCGCCUAAUCCAAGGUCACAGAGAUUCACACCUAUGUCUUCUUAAGAAUUUUAUAGUUUUUGUUCUUAUAUUUAGGUCUUUGAUUAAUUUUGAAUUAAUUUUUAUAUAUGAUGUGCAGUAACAAUUUAACUUUUUUUUUUUUUUUGCAUAUGACUAUCAAUAGUUGCCCAGCACUAUUUGUUGAAAGGACUGGACUGUUUUUUCCCCAUUAAAUUAUGUUGAUACCCUUAAAGUAAACCAACUGACCAUAAAUAUAAGAUCUUUGUUUCUUGAUUCUUAAUCCUAUUUCAUUGUUCUAUAAAUCUAUUCUUAUGCCAGUACCACACUCUCUUCUUAUGAAGCUAUCAUGGCUUAGAAGUAAAAUUUGAAAUCAGGAAGUGUGCAUUUUCUCUGUUCCUUUUAAAGACUGUUUUAGCUAUUCUGGGUUCCCUACAUUUCUCUGUGAAGUUUGGAAUCAGCUAUUAAUGUCUGCAAAAAAAGGCAACUGGAUUUUUAUAGGGAAUUCAUUAACUUUGUAUAUAAAUCUGGGGAAUGUAACCAUCUUAACAAUAUUAAAUCUUUCAUGAACAUGAAAUGUCUUCCUAUUAGGUCUUAUUUAAUUUCUUUCAACAAUGUUUUAUAGUGUACAGUGUGCAAACCUGCAUUUCUUUUGUUAAAUUUAUUACUAAUUAUUUUAUCCUUUGUGAUGCUAUUUUUAAUGAAUAUUUAAAUUAUAUUUUGGAUUGUCCAUUGAUAGUGUAUAGAAAUAUAAUUUAUUUCAAGAUUUAGAUCUUGUAUCCUGCAACAUUGCUAAGCUUGUUUAUUAGCUAGCUCUAAUAGUUGUGUAAUGGAUUCCUUAGGAUUUUGUUUAUAAAAAGAUAACAUAGUCUGAAAAUGGAAGUAUUUUUACUGCUUCAUUUCCAUCUGAAUGCAUUUUUUUCUUUGCUUAAUUACCUCGGCUAGAAAUUCCAGUACAAUGUUGAGUGAAAAUGAUAAGAGCAGAUAUCCUUGUCAUUUUCCUCCCCUUCAUUUUGAAGGAUAGUUUUGCUGCAUAUAGAAUUCUUGGUUAACAGUCUUUUUCUUUCAACACUAAAUACAUCAUUCCAUUUCUUCUGGCCUCCAUGAUUUUUGAUAAGAAAUCAGCUAUUAAUUUUAUUAAGGCUUCCUUGUACAUGAUGCUUCUCUCUUGCUGCUUUUAAAAUUCUUUCUUUGUCUCUUGCCUUUGACAGUUUAUGAUGUGUCUGGCCGCAGAUCUCUGAUUUAGUCCUACCUGGAGUUCAUUGAACUUCUUGGAUAUGUAGAUUAAUGUUUUUCAUCAAAUUUGGGCUUGAAUUUCUCAUUCAUUUGGUAGCUUAGAGUCCCAGGAUUAAGAUAUGGUGAUGCAUGGAGGGAGAACCCCACUCUGGGAAGAGAAGAGCAACAGCAUCUCCUGUCUCCCUCAGUACAGGCCUUGUGUCAGAUUAUCUCACGGAUCCUCACAAGUACACAGCCUAGAUUAAAGAUUCCAGAGAAGGUGGGGAGAGAACUUUAAAAGUUUGCUUCACAACUCUUUUGGAUCAAAGGGAUUUUAUUUUCCUGGCACUGAAGAACUAAAAGAUACAUAAAACGGCACAAUAUUUUAUAGGGUUCCUUAUGCAUGGGCUAUUCUUUAAAUGCUGAGGAAGGAAACAAAUAAUGCACCAGACAAUUUAAUUAAACUGUGUCUAAAAUCUGUGCUCCGCUGUAUUAGAGGCACCUCCUCAGACUUGUAAACCAGUGGGCCAAAGUCAAUUAAGAAGGACACGUCUACAAAUGUUUCAGCGAUUACCAGUUACUUGCCUCUGACGCCCUCCCCUAAUCUCCAGGACAUAAAUGGUGAACGAAAAAUCAGUCACUUGAUUUACCUCCAAGAUCAAUCUGAAGGACAAGUUUAGCACUUAAAACAACUGGUUUUGAAGAAGUGGUGACUUUCAGUAAGUAACAAUAUAGGAUACCAUGGUGAAGAAGGGAGAGAAACCAACCCAGGAUCAGAGUCAAAGCCCUUCAAAGCUAGUCCUUAUCUACCUCCCUGGCCUAUUCCCUACCACCUGGGGUAUACACUUUCUCUAUCUUCUGUGGUUCCCAAGCCAGGGACAGCAGUCACAAAACACUGCCUGCCUUUGCACACAAAGUUCCCUCUGGAAUUUGAGGAUGUGAUUUUCUUCCAACGAUCUAUUCUAGUUUGUGCUCCCUUCCUCCUUUCCAUGAGCCCUCUGCUCCCCAAACUAUAAAAAUGCCUUGUCCCUCCCAGCCUGGGUCUUUGUAGAUGAGGCUAUCCAUUCCUUUCAGCCUCUUUACUCUGGCCUCAUCCCAGAAUAAGAACCUAAGACACUUUCUCCCUAGAAGUCUUACCAAAUAAGUCCUACUCACUUGCCUUAAAUCUUUAACCUCUGAGGACACAGGGCAUUUUCUGUUUCAUCCAUACAGUUUCCUCUAACCAUUUUAAUUCAAGUUGUAUGCUUCCUUACUAUAGGUUUUAGGUACAGAUUUAACACCCUGUCAGUUCUUCUAUUGUCUCUUUCCAGGGUCUUAUUUUAACUUUCUGUGAUUUAAAAACUCUCUUUGUCAUUCUGAGCCCAUGUUUCUUUGUAUAAGAAUUAAUUAUGAGAAAUGACUGAUAAAAUCACUCAUUUUUGAAUGAUACAAUGGUAAUUUAUAAUCGUGGUUGAAAUGCUUGAGGUCACAUUCUACUCCAGGCUGAAAUGAUCUGGUUCUUCUUAGCAUAUUUGAUUGUGUAAUUAAUUUUAUUUAUUAGGCUUAUGUUGGUAAGUUAUAUUUAAAAGUAAACGAUUAAAACUUACGAUAAAAUCCAGAACUAACAGCUAUACCAAGAAACCAUUCUGUGUUAUACCUGCAAUCAAUGCUAGGGAAGUUAAGGAAUGUAACACUUUGACAAAAUUAGAAAUGCAUUCAUCUGUACCAGCUGCAGUUUUAGAGGAAUCCAAUAAACAAUACUUGUUGUGGACUGAA